AUUGAACGCUGGCGGCAUGCUUUACACAUGCAAGUCGAACGGUAACAGGCCGCAAGGUGCUGACGAGUGGCGAACGGGUGAGUAAUGCAUCGGAACGUGCCCAGUCGUGGGGGAUAACGCAGCGAAAGCUGCGCUAAUACCGCAUACGAUCUAUGGAUGAAAGCGGGGGACCGUAAGGCCUCGCGUGAUUGGAGCGGCCGAUGUCAGAUUAGGUAGUUGGUGGGGUAAAGGCUCACCAAGCCAACGAUCUGUAGCUGGUCUGAGAGGACGACCAGCCACACUGGGACUGAGACACGGCCCAGACUCCUACGGGAGGCAGCAGUGGGGAAUUUUGGACGAUGGGCGCAAGCCUGAUCCAGCAAUGCCGCGUGCAGGAAGAAGGCCUUCGGGUUGUAAACUGCUUUUGUACGGAACGAAACGGUCUGGGUUAAUACCCUGGGCUAAUGACGGUACCGUAAGAAUAAGCACCGGCUAACUACGUGCCAGCCGCCGCGGUAAGAC
rnacentral:rRNA from 1 species